rnacentral:rRNA from 1 species
AUUGAACGCUGGCGGCAUGCCUUACACAUGCAAGUCGAACGGUAACAGCACUUCGGUGGCUGACGAGUGGCGAACGGGUGAGUAAUACAUCGGAACGUGCCCGAGAGUGGGGGAUAACGCAGCGAAAGCUGUGCUAAUACCGCAUACGAUCUACGGAUGAAAGCAGGGGACCGCAAGGCCUUGCGCUCACGGAGCGGCCGAUGGCAGAUUAGGUAGUUGGUGGGAUAAAAGCUUACCAAGCCGACGAUCUGUAGCUGGUCUGAGAGGACGACCAGCCACACUGGGACUGAGACACGGCCCAGACUCCUACGGGAGGCAGCAGUGGGGAAUUUUGGACAAUGGGCGAAAGCCUGAUCCAGCCUUGCCGCGUGCAGGAUGAAGGCCUUCGGGUUGUAAACUGCUUUUGUACGGAACGAAAAGGUCUUUUCUAAUAAAGAAGGCUCAUGACGGUACCGUAAGAAUAAGCACCGGCUAACUACGUGCCAGCAGCCGCGGUAAUACGUAGGGUGCAAGCGUUAAUCGGAAUUACUGGGCGUAAAGCGUGCGCAGGCGGUUAUAUAAGACAGAUGUGAAAUCCCCGGGCUCAACCUGGGAACUGCAUUAGUGACUGUAUAGCUAGAGUGCGGCAGAGGGGGAUGGAAUUCCGCGUGUAGCAGUGAAAUGCGUAGAUAUGCGGAGGAACACCGAUGGCGAAGGCAAUCCCCUGGGCCUGCACUGACGCUCAUGCACGAAAGCGUGGGGAGCAAACAGGAUUAGAUACCCUGGUAGUCCACGCCCUAAACGAUGUCAACUGGUUGUUGGGAAUUUACUUUCUCAGUAACGAAGCUAACGCGUGAAGUUGACCGCCUGGGGAGUACGGCCGCAAGGUUAAAACUCAAAGGAAUUGACGGGGACCCGCACAAGCGGUGGAUGAUGUGGUUUAAUUCGAUGCAACGCGAAAAACCUUACCCACCUUUGACAUGUAUGGAAGAUCGCAGAGACGCGAUUGUGCUCGAAAGAGAGCCAUAACACAGGUGCUGCAUGGCUGUCGUCAGCUCGUGUCGUGAGAUG